rnacentral:rRNA from 1 species
ACGGGGGGGGCAAGCGUUGUUCGGAAUUAUUGGGCGUAAAGAGCGUGUAGGCGGCUGAAUAAGUCAGAUGUGAAAUCCCUGGGCUUAACCCAGGACGUGCAUUUGAAACUAUUCAGCUUGAGUAGGGGAGAGGAAAGUGGAAUUCCUGGUGUAGAGGUGAAAUCCGUAGAUAUCUGGAGGAACACCGGUGGCGAAGGCGACUCUCUGGCCCUAUUCUGACGCUGAGACGCGAGAGCGUGGGUAGCAAACAG